UUGGAUUUGGCCCAAAAAGUUCAUUUGAGUUUUUCCUAAGAGCAUAUGGAAAAACCCGAAUGAACUUUUGGGCCAAUCCAG
ensembl:miRNA